CCCUUAGAUGUUCUGGGCCGCACGCGCGCUACACUGUUCGACGCAGCGAGUCUUAACCUUGACCGAAAGGUUUGGGUAAUCUUCAGCAAAGUCGAACGUGAUGGGGAUCGAUCAUUGCAAUUAUUGAUCGUGAACGAGGAAUUCCUAGUAAGUGCAAGUCAUCAGCUUGCGUCGAUUACGUCCCUGCCCUUUGUACACACCGCCCGUCGCUCCUACCGAUUGGGUGUGCUGGUGAAAUGUUCGGAUCGGCCGUUUGUCGCGGUUUCCGCGUCAUGUGGCUGAGAAGUUCAUUAAACCCUCCCACCUAGAGGAAGGAGAAGUCGUAACA
rnacentral:rRNA from 1 species